rnacentral:snRNA from 1 species
GCUCGGGGGUCCCAGUUCCGAAC